UGGGGAAUUUUGGAUAAUGGGCGAAAGCCUGAUCCAGCAAUGCCGCGUGUGUGAAGAAGGCCUUCGGGUUGUAAAGCACUUUUGUCCGGAAAGAAAUCCUUGGCUCUAAUACAGUCGGGGGAUGACGGUACCGGAAGAAUAAGCACCGGCUAACUACGUGCCAGCAGCCGCGGUAAUACGUAGGGUGCAAGCGUUAAUCGGAAUUACUGGGCGUAAAGCGUGCGCAGGCGGUUUGCUAAGACCGAUGUGAAAUCCCCGGGCUCAACCUGGGGAACUGCAUUGGUGACUGGCAGGCUAGAGUAUGGCAGAGGGGGGUAGAAUUCCACGUGUAGCAGUGAAAUGCGUAGAGAUGUGGAGGAAUACCGAUGGCGAAGGCAGCCCCCUGGGCCAAUACUGACGCUCAUGCACGAAAGCGUGGGGAGCAAACAGGAUUAGAUACCCUGGUAGUCCACGCCCUAAACGAUGUCAACUAGUUGUUGGGGAUUCAUUUCCUUAGUAACGUAGCUAACGCGUGAAGUUGACCGCCUGGGGAGUACGGUCGCAAGAUU
rnacentral:rRNA from 1 species